rnacentral:rRNA from 1 species
GAACGCCUCUAAGUCAGAAUCCAGGCUAGAGGCGGCGCUCUCUCCUUGUCGGUUGCUACGUGAUCCGUGGUAGGGGCGAUUUCGUUGCGCUCCCGUUGGCAUGUGUCGAUGGCACUCCCUUGUUCCGUUUGCAUGAUGGGGCAUUGGGGGCCAUGCAGUUCCAUUUUGAGCGGUCGGCGAGAAGAAUCUUUUGCAGACGACUUAAAUACACGAUGGGGUAUUGUAAGUGGCAGAGUGGCCUUGCUGCCACGAUCCACUGAGAUUUAGCCUU